rnacentral:tRNA from 1 species
GGGGCUGUAACUCAGUGGUAGAGGGCUUGCCUAGCAUGCGUGAGGCCCUGGGUUCGAUCCUCAGCACCA